GCAGUGAUUGUGAGGUUCUGAAGUGGGAUAAGUGUUUGUGGAGUCUCCCUUUGUAGGAAUGGCAGCAUAGUCCGUUUGUCCGUUUUGGUUUGUUUGGUUGGUUGGUUGGUUUUUUGUUUAGGUGCGUGCUUGCGUGUGUGUGCCGAUGCACUCAGAGCAUUUGGCUUGGCAACAUUUACAGAGCUGUCAGAGGACUUCACUUCCUGCCCUCAUGUGUUUCUUCAUAAUUAGAAUCACCUGUGCCCUACUUUACUACAUUUCCCCCAUCGGCCAUGUGUUACGUCACAACAUGAGAAAGAUGUGCAAGGAAGAGAUGAGAACUGCUCAUUUAGGAUCCUCCUCUGCUUUUACUCUUUUGUCUUCUUGAGAUGUAUUUAAGUGAUUAGAAGAUCCUCAGUCAUUCAAGGGGAAAUUAUUUCUGGGUCUCAGGAAGAGACAGAACGUGAGUAAGCAUACAUUACAUAAUGAAAAGCAUCCUCUCUGUUCACCAUCUCCUAAGCCAGUGCAUCUCAGCACCUUUGUGUUUAAGAAGCUGGUUGUUCUCCUUGUGGCAAUGGCAAUCAGACCUGCCUUCUUCUUCAGGAGUGUAUGGACUGAUAUAUGUGUACUUAAGACUUUGCUUGAAACUGAAUUUACUUUUGAGUUGAGUGCCUUAUUGAUUCAAUUGUUGUUGAAAAAAAAGAGAAUGGAAAAAAUGCACAGAAAAAAAUUAUAAUGAAAUGAUUUGUAUUAAAAUCAGUUUAACAU